GAUCCUGGCUCAGAUUGAACGCUGGCGGCAGGCCUAACACAUGCAAGUCGAGCGUGAAAGGGCUUCGGCCUGAGUAAAGCGGCGAACGGGUGAGUAACGCGUGGGAAUCUGCCUGGUAAUGGGGGACAACAUCUCGAAAGGGAUGCUAAUACCGCAUACGCCCUAAGGGGAAAGGGGGGGAUCUUCGGACCUCACGUUAUCAGAUGAGCCCGCGUCGGAUUAGCUAGUAGGUAGGGUAAAGGCCUACCUAGGCGACG
rnacentral:rRNA from 1 species